GUGAGGGAGGGUGUGACUAGUGACAGUUAGGCAGGGAAGGGGUGACUAGUGACAGAGGGAGGGGUGACUAGGGACAGAGUGAGGGAGGUGGUGACUAGUGACAGUCACCACCUCCCUCACUCUGUCACUAGUCACCACCUCCCUCCGUCACUGUGUCACCCCCUCCCUCAUUCUGUCACCAGUCAUCCCCUUACUCUGUCACUAGUCACCCCUCCCUCAC